GCCUGCACCACCAUGCCUGGGUUCAGGCUCCCAUAAGCCUGCACCACCAUGCCUGGGUUCAGGUUCAUGCUUGCCAGGUGCUCUCUCCUCCCACCACCGACCCAGGGUACCAACCGUGAAUGGAUAGCAGAGCCCUGACACUGUCACCAGCUUAGCCCCGAUGUGAAGAGUCCACAGAAUGCCAUUCCCAGCAAGUCAGAGAAUGCCCUAUUGACCAUCCCUCUGCCAAGUUAGUCCCACAAGUUCCAUUCAGACUGUGUGCUCCCCAGCCCCAGCAGACCCGCCUACCCUUCCUGUCCCUGGCCUCGCUCUGAGUCACCUCCAGCCUGAAGUAAUCAAUUCUGAGUUAGCCUCCCAAGGAAGGAAGAGUUCAUAGUACAGAGUCUGCGAGGUCACAAAGCCAAGUGUAUUUUUUCUGUUGCCUUAACAACCGUAACACAGUGGCCUUCCAGAACCAUAAGUUUGGCUUUUGUGGGACCUCUGACCAUCCUCGUGGCAGCUGCCACAGUUCAGCCCCAGAAACGGGAGUCUCACUGGCUUAGUCUCACUCGUUAGUUGCUUUUUUCACGACCCAGCUGUAACAGUUACCUAACAAAAGCAACUUCCGGAGGGACAGGUAUGUUCUUGAUGAGCAUGCAGUGAUUACAUCUAUAAGUGCCCUCCAUGAUAUAAGCAAGGAUGCAGAGAAGCCACUGAACCGUCCAAUCCAUUGGGUGGGAAACAAGACAGAAGGAAGCUGAGCUGCGAAGACUCUCAGACAAGCAAUGCUGUAAGACAACUCAUUCAGCUGCCUGGAAGAGGCAGAAACCAUCCUAGUUGCCUGCAAGAGGCUUAGACCAGAAUCGCCUGGAAAGGACCAUCUCCAACUGGUUGAGCUGCCUGCAGGCUACAGUGUGCUCCAGGUCCCCCAGCCUUGUGAGCUGUCAUCCGCGCUGGAGUGGACUUUGGUGAUGCAACUGUCUUUGAGCCAUUUCUGCUCCUGUAAGGACCCCUCACUCACCCUACUGUAAGCAGCCCAAAUAAAACCCAUUGGUUCACCAA